rnacentral:rRNA from 1 species
AGUAGGGAAUCUUCGGCAAUGGACGCAAGUCUGACCGAGCAACGCCGCGUGAGUGAAGAAGGUUUUCGGAUCGUAAAACUCUGUUGUUAGAGAAGAACAAGGAUGAGAGUAGAAUGUUCAUCCCUUGACGGUAUCUAACCAGAAAGCCACGGCUAAUUACGUGCCAGCAGCCGCGGUAAUACGUAGGUGGCAAGCGUUGUCCGGAUUUAUUGGGCGUAAAGCGAGCGCAGGCGGUUUCUUAAGUCUGAUGUGAAAGCCCCCGGCUCAACCGGGGAGGGUCAUUGGAAACUGGGAAACUUGAGUGCAGAAGAGGAGAGUGGAAUUCCAUGUGUAGCGGUGAAAUGCGUAGAUAUAUGGAGGAACACCAGUGGCGAAGGCGGCUCUCUGGUCCGUAACUGACGCUGAGGCUCGAAAGCGUGGGGAGCAAACAGGAUUAGAUACCCUGGUAGUCCACGCCGUAAACGAUGA